rnacentral:rRNA from 1 species
AGUCGGACGGCAGCGGGGUAGUGCUUGCACUACUGCCGGCGAGUGGCGAACGGGUGAGUAAUAUAUUGGAACGUACCGAGUAAUGGGGGAUAACCAAUCGAAAGAUUGGCUAAUACCGCAUACGCUCUGAGGAGGAAAGCAGGGGACCUUCGGGCCUUGCGUUAUUCGAGCGGCCAAUAUCUGAUUAGCUAGUUGGUGGGGUAAAGGCCUACCAAGGCGACGAUCAGUAGCGGGUCUGAGAGGAUGAUCCGCCACACUGGGACUGAGACACGGCCCAGACUCCUACGGGAGGCAGCAGUGGGGAAUUUUGGACAAUGGGCGCAAGCCUGAUCCAGCCAUGCCGCGUGUCUGAAGAAGGCCUUCGGGUUGUAAAGGACUUUUGUUAGGGAAGAAAAAGGAACGGUUAAUACCCGUUUCUGCUGACGGUACCUAAAGAAUAAGCACCGGCUAA